rnacentral:rRNA from 1 species
GUUGGCUUAGAAGCAGCCAUACAUUUAAAGAGUGCGUAAUAGCUCACUGGUCGAGAGUCUCUGCGCCGACAAUGUAACGGGGCUAAGAUAUAAACCGAAGCUGUGGAAUGUACCGUAUGGUAUAUUGGUAGGAGAGCGUUGUGUAGGCCGGUGAAGGUGUACCGAAAGGAGCACUGGAGGUAUCACAAGUGAGAAUGCAGGAAUGAGUAGCGAAAAAGAGGGUGAGAAUCCCUCUCGCCGGAAGUCCAAGGUUUCCAGGGCAAUGCUUGUCAUCCCUGGGGAAGUCGGGACCUAAGUUGAGGCUUAUAAGCGUAGGCGAAUGGAAAGUAGGUUAAUAUUCCUACACCAGUUAUGUAUUGUGAUGGAGGGACGCAGAAGGGUAGAUACGCUGGGCGACGGUUGUCCCAGUGCAAGCAUGUAGGGUGGCCAGAUAGGAAAAUCCGUUUGGCUAUAUCUGAGGUGUGAUGCGGAGCACGUAAGUGCGGAAGGUAUUGAUCCCACGCUGCCAAGAAAAGCUUCUAACGUUAAGACAUAACUGCCCGUACUGUAAACCGACACAGGUGGACAGCGUGAGAAACGUAAGGCGGACAGGCUAACUCUCGCUAAGGAACUCUGCAAAAUGGCCCCGUAACUUCGGGAGAAGGGGUGCCUUUGAUGGUGAUGGUUCACGCAACCUGAGCUGUCGGAGGCCGCAGUGAAAAGACUCAAGCGACUGUUUAACAAAAACACAGGUCUAUGCUAAGCUGAAAGGCGAUGUAUAUGGGCUGACACCUGCCCAGUGCCGGAAGGUUAAGGGGAGGAGUGAGAGCUUCGAACUGAAGCCCCGGUGAACGGCGGCCGUAACUAUAACGGUCCUAAGGUAGCGAAAUUCCUUGUCGGGUAAGUUCCGACCUGCACGAAUGGUGUAACGAUUUGAGUGCUGUCUUGGCGGGAGGCCUGGUGAAGUUGUAUUAUGGGUGAAGAUACCCAUUACCUGCAGCAGGACGGAAAGACCCCAUGGAGCUUUACUGUAGCUUGGUAUUGGGUCUUGAUGCUGUGUGUAUAGGAUAGUUGGGAGACUUUGAUUGUAGGCCGCUAGGUUUACAUGAGUCGUUGGUGGAAUACCAACCACGCAGUAUUGGGAUUCUAAUCUGGUGUGUGUAACACCGGAGACAGUGCUAGGUGGGCAGUUUGACUGGGGCGGUCGCCUCCGAAAGAGUAACGGAGGCGCUCAAAGGUUCCCUCAGGUUGGAUGGAAAUCAACCGCAGAGUGCAAAGGCAUAAGGGAGCUUGACUGCGAGACUGACAGGUCGAGCAGGUGCGAAAGCAGGACUUAGUGAUCCGGCGAUUCCGAAUGGAAGGGUCGUCGCUCAACGGAUAAAAGCUACCCUGGGGAUAACAGGCUGAUCCUACCCGAGAGUCCAUAUCGACGGUAGGGUUUGGCACCUCGAUGUCGGCUCAUCUUAUCCUGGGGCUGGAGAAGGUCCCAAGGGUUGGGCUGUUCGCCCAUUAAAAAGGUACGUGAGCUGGGUUCAGAACGUCGUGAGACAGUUCGGUCCCUAUCC